rfam:Populus trichocarpa isolate Nisqually-1 chromosome 16, whole genome shotgun sequence.
UAAUUUUUAUGGAUUAGAUCAUCAUCUAAUUAUGAUAAAUCCCACACCUAACUGCUCAGAAUCACUCGUGAGAACUAUUGUGUGAACAAUGACUUCUUAAGAUU